GACGAACGCUGGCGGCGUGCUUAACACAUGCAAGUCGAACGAUGAAGCUGGAGCUUGCUCUGGUGGAUUAGUGGCGAACGGGUGAGUAACACGUGAGUAACCUGCCCUGGACUCUGGGAUAACCCCGAGAAAUCGGAGCUAAUACCGGAUAGGACCUUGGAUCGCAUGAUCUGGGGUGGAAAGUUUUUCGGUCUGGGAUGGACUCGCGGCCUAUCAGCUUGUUGGUGAGGUAAUGGCUCACCAAGGCGUCGACGGGUAGCCGGCCUGAGAGGGUGACCGGCCACACUGGGACUGAGACACGGCCCAGACUCCUACGGGAGGCAGCAGUGGGGAAUAUUGCACAAUGGGCGCAAGCCUGAUGCAGCAACGCCGCGUGCGGGAUGACGGCCUUCGGGUUGUAAACCGCUUUUAGUAAGGAAGAAGCCGCAAGGUGACGGUCCUUGCAGAAAAAGGACCGGCUAACUACGUGCCAGCAGCCGCCGUAAGAC
rnacentral:rRNA from 1 species